rnacentral:rRNA from 1 species
UACGUAGGGUGCAAGCGUUGUCCGGAAUUAUUGGGCGUAAAGAGCUUGUAGGCGGUUUGUCGCGUCUGCUGUGAAAUUUCGGGGCUCAACCCCGAACUUGCAGUGGGUACGGGCAGACUAGAGUGUGGUAGGGGAGACUGGAAUUCCUGGUGUAGCGGUGAAAUGCGCAGAUAUCAGGAGGAACACCGAUGGCGAAGGCAGGUCUCUGGGCCAUAACUGACGCUGAGGAGCGAAAGCGUGGGGAGCAAACAGG